rnacentral:lncRNA from 1 species
CCUGAGGUUGUGUGUCUGUGUGUGUGCGUAUAAAAACAUAGGUUCUGAGGAUUGAGCGCUGUGUCAUUGUAAUUAGGCUGCAGGUCGGUGACUCUAUCUCAGAUAUUCAGACACGUUAAGCCUGUGUGCAGAGGUUGAUGUAUGUACUCGUCUGCUUGUCUCAGACCCCGUGGAGUGGCAGCUUAUCUCGCUGUUUUUCUCUGUCCUGUCACAGGUUUCAAGUGGGAGCGAGGCAGCGGAGCCUCGCUCAGUGUGGAGUGCCUCGUCGUCAGAAUGCUGAGGCCGCACACAGCUCCAGAUGCACUAUCCCAUCCUUGUCCACCCACUUUUGUUUCUAAAACAGAGCCGUUUUAUUGCUGCCCUGAGGCAGAUAGAGCCAAGCUGAGGAAACAGAGACUCCAAGUGUACGGCUAGGUAUGGAAAUGAGCCCUCUGUGACAAUACUCAACAAUAUCUCC